rnacentral:rRNA from 1 species
UACGGGGGGGGCAAGCGUUGUUCGGAAUUACUGGGCGUAAAGGGCUCGUAGGCGGCCAACUAAGUCACACGUGAAAUCCCUCGGCUCAACCGGGGAACUGCGUGUGAGACUGGAUGGCUUGAGUUUGGGAGAGGAAUGCGGAAUUCCAGGUGUAGCGGUGAAAUGCGUAGAUAUCGAGAGGAACACCUGAGGUGAAGACGGGUUGCUGGGCUGACACUGACGCUGAGGCGCGAAAGCCAGGGGAGCAAACGGG